rnacentral:rRNA from 1 species
UGGGGAAUAUUGCGCAAUGGGGGAAACCCUGACGCAGCAACGCCGCGUGAAUGAUGACGGUCUUCGGAUUGUAAAGUUCUAUCAGCAGGGAUGAAUAAAUGACAGUACCUGACUAAGAAGCCCCGGCUAACUACGUGCCAGCAGCCGCGGUAAUACGUAGGGGGCAAGCGUUAUCCGGAUUUACUGGGUGUAAAGGGUGCGUAGCCGGAAUAUCAAGUCUGAUGUGAAAGCCCGAGGCUCAACCUCGGGAUUGCAUUGGAAACUGGUAUUCUAGAGUGCAGGAGAGGAAAGUGGAAUUCCUAGUGUAGCGGUGAAAUGCGUAGAGAUUAGGAGGAACACCAAUGGCGAAGGCAACUUUCUGGACUGUAACUGACGGUGAGGCACGAAAGCGUGGGGAGCAAACA